GCAACGCCUAACUCUCGCGAGGGUACCGGGCAAUUCGAGAAAAGCAACGCUCCUUCCUCCCCGCCCGCAAUUGUACGCCCCGGCUGCGCAGUCGCAGCUCGGAACCGCUACUUUAACCCGGCCCCGGAAAUGACGUUAAGCUUCCGCGGGUAAGCCGGAAGUUAGCUAAGAGUGCGCCCCGCGUCCGUUCCCUUUACGACACCAGUCUAACCAGACAGCCAUCUUGUCUAAGGGUGGUCUAUCAGCCCCGAGACGAAACGACAAUAAAAAGAGAAAGAGCAACCAAGUUAUGUUAAAAUGAGAAAGGACGAUCAAAUUAAUAGUGGAAUGUUCCUGGAGAUAAGUUUCUCAGUAAGUUUUGACGUGCUGCAGACAUCACGCGUCUAGCCUUUCCGACGUGAUGACGUCACCACGGGUCACGGAAGGAGAAAAAGUGUCCAACCAAUAGCCUGGAAAUAAGUAUGGAAUUGGAAGAAAUACUCCAUUGUUCUGGGUGAAUGCACCUAAUUGCUCAGGCCAAAGAGUCUUCAGUAUCCGCUCCUAUAUCCUAUCCUGUAGCAACCCUGGCUGGCUUAACCUUCAAAAUGUGUCGGGAAUCAAACCACUUCUCACAUCCCACAUUGCUAUCAUCUGCUAUCACAUUUCCUCCUUACCUUUUUCUUCUUUUUAAAAAACAACAGUUUUAUUAUUCCUUGAACUCACUGGGUUUGUUCUUAUCUCCAAGUCUGUACUCUAGGCUUCCUUUCUUCCUGGAAUGUUCUUACAGAGCACAUAGAUCCUUUCCUUAUUGUAUAGUCACCCUUAAAAGUGAUACUGGGGAGGAUCGUUAAGACCAUGUUAGUCAAAGAUCAGUCAGAGAAGCAGGAUUGAAUAAGGAAUUGGUUUACAUAGCUGUGGGAAGUGGCUAAGCAAGCCCAAACUCUGUGCUAGAUAGGCAGGAAUGGAAGAUCAUGGGCAGGUUGUGCCCCAUAACUGGUAGCUUUUAUCCAUAAGUCAGAGAGAGAAGAACAUGAACUAAGUGGAACUCCAUUCUUCUCCAGGAAACCUCAGUGAUGCUUUUCACACCUCCAGAUUGAUUCAGUCAGGUCCAUGUGGAUUAUCCAAGACAGCUCCCUUACCCAAAAUGAACUGAUUAGAGCUUUAAAUACUUGUGCAAAAUGUAUUCAUGAUAAAAUUUAGUGUUUGAUAACAGGAGUGUAGACCAGCCAAAUGUACAUAUCAAAAGUCAUUGUACCAGUUUCAGCCUCACCAGCCUCAACAUUUCUCCUCAUUCUCACUCUUUUUCUUUAUACUUUUUACCACUGAAACUGGUUAAUCAUUUUCCUGUUACAGCAGCUGUUCUCAGUUGAGUGGAAUUGUAGAUAUUUUGCUCACUCCUCUCUCCAUACAUUUGGCAAUGUCUGGAGACAUACUUGGUUGUCACAGUUGGGUUAAUACUACUGGUGUUUAGUAAGUAGAAGCCAGGGAAACUACUAAAUAUUGUACAGUGCACAGGACAGCUCCCCACCCAUCCCAAAAAAAGAGUCAAGGGGCCCAAAAUGUCAACAGUGCUGAGGUUGAGAAACGGUAUUAGAGUGUAAGCUCCUCAGAGGCAGAUGCUGUUUACCUCAUUUUCACUUAGUCUCACUUAGAAGAGAUUGGCACAGUAGGUGAUCUGUAGAUAUUGUUUUAAUGGAUUUAAUGGACUAGAUUAUCUAUUUUUAACACAUCCCUAAAUGAUUCUUCUCAAGGAAGUUUGGGGAACAAGCCCUUGAAGUUGAGUAAAGGCAUUAGAUUCUUGACUUUAUAUACAGUUUCUACAUCUGAUUAGCUGUGUAUUAGGACAGUUUAAAAUCUCAGAAGCCUGUGUUUCUGUGUAUGAAUGGGGACUAGAAUACCUAAUAACAGUGUUUGGUAAUUAAAGUUAAGGUACAUAAAGCCACAGCACAAUUCCUUAAAAUAUAUUUAUACGCUGUAAAUAUUAGCUCUGACUUUAUAACUCAAGUGUCUUCAUCCAUGACUGUGCAUUAGACCUUAACAUAUCACAGAACCGCCCAUUUCUAAAGUCUUAAAGUCUGCGCUCUAAAAGUAGUUUUCUUUUUCCAGCAGUCUUGCUCUCUAUGACAUCAAUAGUACUGUAGUCCCUUGGCAUCUCCAUUUUAUUCCCUACUGUCUGUAGAUUUAUGAUUGUCAGUUUUAUUACUCUUUUCUAGCCUGGACCAUUCCUUGGCCCCUUUGUCAUUCUAAUACACUUAACCUGCCAGACUCCAACACUUCUGCUUUGGUUUCCCCAAAACAAGACUGGUGAUUAUCCUCAUUCUCUCCCAUUUUUUCUUUUUACCAGCAUUUAAAACAGUUCAAGUCUUCCAUUCUUAUGAGUCAACAAAACAAACUUGGGCCAGGGAUUUAGCUCAGUGGUUUCGCUGCUGCAAGCGCAAGGACCCGAGUUCAAUCCCCGGUACCAAAAAAAAACAAAAUCAAAAACAAACUCAAUUUGGCUUCUCUCUAGCUUUAUUGUUUAACAGUCCAUACAUCUGCCAUACGGAAGCAAAACUAACUCCUUGACUUGCUGCCAUUCUGAGUAAGUGGUUACAAAGGAUCCCAGAAGUCAAGAAAUACCCACAGAGCUCUACCUUGCAUCCUGAGAUAAAACUAGUGAUAAAAACUAUAAAAACACUAAAGAUAAAAUGUGACACCAUGACCAUGUACACAUCUGGGGUAUUGUCUAGUUCUAAUCUCCUAUAUAAAUGAAAACUUAAGCCUGAGUCUUUCCUGUAAAAUUAAGACUCCCUAGGGCCAGGGAUAAAAGCUCAGUGGUUCCGCUGCCUGCCUUGCUAGCACAAGGAUCCGAGUUCCAUCCCCAGUACCAAAAAACAAAGACUCCCUAAAAUCAAUGGAACAAAAUUUUUAACUUUUGCAGUGGUGUUUGAAAAUGUGAUGACAGUGUGAAGAUUACUUUUUUCCCACCAUGAACCAAUUCUAGCUAUCAAAAGCUGUGAUUUUUAAAAUUUUUGUGUGAUUUUAAAAUUUUAAAAUUUUAAAAUUUUUAAAAUUUUUGUGUGAUUUUUAAAAUUUAAAUACUGUACUUGUGAUCUCUAUUUGGUUGAGCCAGUUCUAAAGCCUGAAUUUCCUUGCCAAAUUUAUUUGCAAGUAAACUUUUAAAAGAUUUUGCUCUUCUUUUGAUAAUAAAAAUUAAAGUAUUAUUUUUAAAAAGAUAAAAUCAAAGUUCUCAUGCAAAUAUAUAUACAUAUUUUAAUUACCUCAUUAGCAGAUGAGGAAAUUAGUUAAGAUGUUAAAACUGUUUCAGGCAACGGUUUAUAGGCAACUUAAUGGAAUGCUAGUACAGUAAAAGUUGUAAGAUUAGAUACCAAAUGGUUCAUGUCUUACAGGGGAAUAAAGUAUAAACUUUGGAGUUAUCUGUUCCACUGAAAAUUAGGGAUUUACAUUCUUACUGGACAAACAUCUCUAAUACACAGAUGAAGUAUAGGACCUUUAAUCAGCAGUGGACAGUGAGGCCCCUGUUCUUGGUUUGACAUUGAAGGGACAUGUCACUCACUCACCUUUUUGCCUUGUUUCCAAGUUUUAGACAAUUUUCCUUUCAAAAUGAAAUUCUUGGCCGGUGUAGUGGCAGAUGACUGUAGUCCCAGCACUCAGGUGUAGGCAGGAGGCUCACCAUGAAUUCAGGGCCAGUCUCAACUACAGAGUGAGACCCUGUCUCAAAAAACCAAGAAAAAUUCUUAUUCAUUCAUCCUAUUUUAAUCAGCCUUCUUGCCUCCCCUAGUUAUUAUUCAUGUCAAACCCACUCACGACCUCCCACCAAUGGAUAUUUUCUGAGUAAUUUUUACUUUUUCUAUAAAAUUUCUCAUUGUUUAAAAUACCACAUGGGCCAAACAAGAGGUCUGCAGUUUGGAUUUGACUAUAAACAAAUUUUAUGAGCUGAUUUAUAUUUUUAAUGAUUCUGAAUUCUAAGAGCCGGACAAUCUUAGAUUUCACUUAGGUUCCAUGUACUCCCAGCACGUAGCGCAGAUGCAGAAUAGACAUCAUUGGGGUUCUCUGCACACUGUCUCCAUUUAUAGGAAAGCCUCUGGAGUUCUGUUUGAAUUAUGUAAUACAGUACUACCCACUUUGAUGUUCCUUGAAAGACUAGCAGCAGCCAGCUGACCCACGAUUAGCCAAUUGGAAUUCUGUGAGAAUCUGGACUUGGGAUACUGAAAUGGCUACCCUGAUCUCUGCUGGUCAUUUGAAGUAAAGACUUAUAAACUUGUUAUUUGUGCACAGAGCAGAGGAGGCUUGUUUUCUAAGAGAAAAAUGAAGCAGAUAAGGAUCAUCUGAAAAGGAUAUAAUGAAAAGAGAAGUGAUCCAAAUAUUGGAUAUUUGGAGGAAUGUUUUAUAUAGUGUACAUCCUAGGAAAAGGAUGAGAAUCACUGGAAUGUUUGGAAAUCUGGAUAUUUGGCUGAUCGAUCUCUUUCUAAAAGAAAUUCAAGGGCAGAGUUGCAAUUCUCAAAUAUGUCUCAAAAUGAGUAAAAUUAAAA